UGGGGAAUAUUGGACAAUGGGCGCAAGCCUGAUCCAGCCAUGCCGCGUGAGUGGUGAAGGCCCUAGGGUUGUAAAGCUCUUUCACCGGUGAAGAUAAUGACGGUAACCGGAGAAGAAGCCCCGGCUAACUUCGUGCCAGCAGCCGCGGUAAUACGAAGGGGGCUAGCGUUGUUCGGAUUUACUGGGCGUAAAGCGCACGUAGGCGGACUUUUAAGUCAGGGGUGAAAUCCCGGGGCUCAACCCCGGAACUGCCUUUGAUACUGGAAGUCUUGAGUAUGGUAGAGGUGAGUGGAAUUCCGAGUGUAGAGGUGAAAUUCGUAGAUAUUCGGAGGAACACCAGUGGCGAAGGCGGCUCACUGGACCAUUACUGACGCUGAGGUGCGAAAGCGUGGGGAGCAAACAGG
rnacentral:rRNA from 1 species